rnacentral:lncRNA from 1 species
GGGAAGCGCCAGCGGCCUGCGUGGCCUGGAUAGUACCACGACGAAACCCAUGAGGGGUUUGCCCGACGUAGACACCAGCCUCCUCCAGGUGUUUGCCCACGCGCAUGGCUAACGUGCUGCUGGAAAACGGACGCUCCACGAAGCGUUGGUGACCCCGGUCAGUGGGACGGAAGAGGUAGUCGGAGAUUGCAGACCCUGGGGGGGCGUCAGGGGCAUGGCACAGCUGCCAAUAGAGGGCGAGGGUGCGGAGGAAGCAAUGUCGUGGAGAAGGGUCGGGGCGCAGUUCCAAAGGGGGGGCUCGACGCCCCUUGGAGGUUUUGGUCCCGAGUUGUUCGAUCCGUAAGGAAAGCGAGGGGUAGGCACCAAACGGGUCCGGCAGAGGUAGGGGAAACCCACGGAAGGGACCCCCACCCCACGGGUCACGGAAGUCACGUAGCCGCAGUUUGCCGGUGUCGUGGCCGCGGUAGCUGGUGUGCCACAUAAAUUGGCAGCACAACAGGUCGCGUAGUAGCAGCAGCCGGGUCAGGGAGGUGGUGGAUGCCUGAAAUCCGGACCAGAGGUGGUCCAUGAGGGUGGUGAAGUCGCCAGGGCUGAGUGGUACGGCGGCUUGCUCCUCAUAGCCACGGUCGGCGGCGAGACGGCUAUAGCCAGUCUUGUAGGAGGACAAGGCGCUGGAGCAGCAGGGGUUGCCGAUGCCGGUUUCACGGUCGUAAGUGCUGCCACGGCCUAAGCGGUUAAACAGUCCGGAGAGUAGACCCAGAUGAUUGUUGACGGUGUUGGGGCUCGGGUCGUCCACACGGCGGUUGGGGAGCCAGUGCGCCUCCAGGUAGACGAGUAGGUCGUCAUCGGUGCAGGAUAGCAGGGUACGGCCAUGAGGCAGGGAGGCCAGCCAGGCAGAGAGGUCCCGACCGGCAGCUUCCUGACGGGCAAUGGUUUCGCGGGCCAGCGAGUUGUCGCAGACGGUGGCGGCCUUCGCGAGGGCGACGGUAUAAAGCUGGCGGCUGGAAGGUGGGUCCAGUACGGCGGAGGGUAAGGAAGUGGGGCGGACGCGUGCGGCCAAGAUUUGAGGCAGAGUAGGCUCCGGCAGUGCCUGGCGGGCAGAAGAAGGUAGGGGAGGUAAGCGCGACGGAGAGGAGAGACAGGACUCAGGCGCGGGCAAGCCUACCGGGGGGGCAGCAUCGGAGAGGCCGGGGGCGUGAGAUAAGUCCAGAGCGGGCGUCGGGCCCACGGAAAGGGCGGAGGGGUUGGGCCCCCGAGGGGCAGGAACGGACGGAAGUAAGGUAGUUGACGAGCCGAGGAGGGGCGCCCCAAGUAGGGCCGGGGAAGGCAAGGAAAGCCUGCCCGGCACCGGACAGGCAAGGGGCGAGUCCUGCAGUAAGGUAGGCAACCGUAAGAGAGGGCCGGAGAAAAGGAUGCGCAGAGAGAGGGGGCGCGCACCGGGUAGGCAGAAGACACAGUCGGAGGAGGAGGAUUCGCAUAGACGAGGCGUAACAACGGCGAAGGAGGUCGCCGCUUCUGUGGAGAAGCAGAGGCUGGGUGGAGGCGAAGGUGAAUGGCAAAGUAGCGACGAGCGAAGUUACCUGUGGCACGAGCCGAACUAGAGGCAACGCGGCGGAGUCUUGGGAACGAGGUAGAAAAUAUGAAUGGUAGGUAAGAGAGUCGGCAUGAGGCUGGAGGCUUACGUUUUCUGCUGACGAUGACUGCAUUAGGUUAUUUUCGUACUCUCUACUCGAUUGCCGUGCGAGCGGCCCACCCGCCCUCCCACUAACAGCCAAAUGGCUGAUCGGAAUUGUCUUUGAAGGGUUUGGGUACCGCGGGAGUGUGGUCGCAGACGCAAUGGCCUUCCCCACAAUAAGUUAGUAGUGAGUACGGAUCACGCGAUGACGUUUAAGCAAUAGCCAUGGUCGUGCAACCAGAGGCUUCAUACCUCCGAACGGCCGCUACGUGGCCUGCCACGUCCCGUUUGAGCCCGACUCUUGUUCAUAUCACUUACCACCNNNNNNNNNNNNNNNNNNNNNNNNNNNNNNNNNNNNNNNNNNNNNNNNNNCUGUCGCCAGCUGGUUCCAAAAGACGUACCACGCAAAACAACCAAAAUUGAUGUGGAAGCUCAAUUGUCUGCUGCUGUUUAUCUCAAAUGCACUUCUCACCGCUCAAACCUCGGCACAAGGUACGAGAGUGCCUACCUGGCAAGAAGCAGCACCAGCACCAGCAGCUAGAUGCCACAAGUUACGGCUAUCAGGCCAGGUAGUUCCUGCCAAAGAUAGCGCUCGCUAUCUGGGCUUGGUAUAUGGGCCAGAACGGCCUUUUAGUGCGUGCCGUCAGCAGUUGUGUGAUACAGGUCGGUCCGCUAUGUUUUCCUUAAGCGCAAAGCUGGACAAAAUGAAGCUGUUUGCCCCCGAUGUGCGAAUGCGGUGUUUUGCAACCCAAGUCCGAGCAAUUCUGUUGUAUGGCUGCCAGGCGUGGGGCCCUUUUGCGCUGGCAGAGGUCGUGGACAGGGUGGGAAGGCGGCGGGAUAAAGCCAACCUUGCGGAGGGCAUGUUCGAAGCCUGUUUGAAGGAUAGUGCAGUCCAGCUGCAGAUUUUAUUCAUGAGGCAGGUAGUGGGGACGGCACGGCCAUCCCACAGGCUGUUGUACGCGGAGCUGGCUGAACUCCCCUUACAAGAUUACAUGGUGAAGCAGAUUCUCCGUUUCUGGAACCGCCUUCAAAAGCAAGUGGGAUCCAUUGCUCAUGCAGUUUUACGGCAGGAGAUAACCGAUGCCCUGACCAACCCGGAAUGGGAGGGUUGGGGAAUCUCAUUGUUACGACUGUUUUCCUUCUUGGAGUGCAACAUUUGGAGCGGAAUACCGCAAGAAGUCGUGGGGGUAAAGGAGCGUGUUGACUGGUUGUUGAGUAGACCUCUACCAGAAGGAGCGAUAAUAACGGCACUAAGAGAGCGUUUGAUGAGCGGCUGGGACCAUACGCGUCUGACUGUCUUGCCAGAGGAGUACCCAUCAGAUGGGAAGCAACCGGGAGUGCAAAUGGCGAAGUAUAAGCACUGGAUGGGGCUGCCCUUUUCGGGAGCCGCAGCCGUCAUGUGGCCAACACAUGCUAAGGUUUUCAUUCCUCGUUUAGCACAUCGUAAGCUAAUGCAGUUUCGUUUAUGUUGCUGGGCUUUGGAGGCGAACAGAGCACGAAGGGGCAAGUACCAUGUCCCCAGGGGGCAGCGGUUUUGCCACUGUUGUGGUCCUAAUAGCCGAAUUGAGGAUGAAAAACACGUGUUAUUGGAAUGCCCAGCCUAUAAUGAUAUUCGUGCUGAAGAGGGAUUCGAUCAUCAACAGAGUAUGUUGGAGGCCAUGCAAUGGGAACCCGCACGUCUGGCGAGGAUGUUGGAACGUAUGUGGGCUCACCGAAACUCAAUUACCCCCUUUGGACGCUAGUCUGGGCUGAUGUGCGGUGUUUUUCCUUUUCUCCGUGGCUUUUAGGCGUUGUAGUAUUGNNNNNNNNNNNNNNNNNNNNNNNNNNNNNNNNNNNNNNNNNNNNNNNNNNGAAGCCUGCCCGGCACCGGACAGGCAAGGGGCGAGUCCUGCAGUAAGGUAGGCAACCGUAAGAGAGGGCCAGAGAAAAGGAUGCGCAGAGAGAGGGGGCGCGCACCGGGUAGGCAGAAGACACAGUCGGAUGAGGAGGAUUCGCAUAGACGAGGCGUAACAACGGCGAAGGAGGUCGCCGCUUCUGUGGAGAAGCAGAGGCUGGGUGGAGGCGAAGGUGAAUGGCAAAGUAGCGACGAGCGAAGUUACCUGUGGCACGAGCCGAACUAGAGGCAACGCGGCGGAGUCUUGGGAACGAGGUAGAGAAUAUGAAUGGUAGGUAAGAGAGUCGGCAUGAGGCUGGAGGCUUACGUUUUCUGCUGUCGAUGACUGCAUUAGGUUAUUUUCGUACUCUCUACUCGAUUGCCG